CCUACGGGAGGCAGCAGUGGGGAAUAUUGCGCAAUGGGCGAAAGCCUGACGCCGCGACGCCGCGUGAGUGAUGAAGGUCUUCGGAUCGUAAACCUCUGUCAGCAGGGAAGAACGGUCAGUGUGCUAAUCAGACGUCAAUUGACGGUACCUGCAAAGGAAGCACCGGCUAACUCCGUGCCAGCAGCCGCGGGAAUACGGAGGGUGCGAGCGUUAAUCGGAAGUACUGGGCGGAAAGCGCGCGUAGGCGGUAUGUCAAGUCAGGGGUGAAAUCCCCGGGCUCAACGUGGGAACUGCCUUUGAAACUGGCAAACUGGAGUGUGUGAGAGGAUAGUGGAAUUCCAGGUGUAGGGGUGAAAUCCGUAGAUAUCUGGAGGAACAUCAGUGGCGAAGGCGACUAUCUGGAACAUAACUGACGCUGAGGAGCGAAAGCGUGGGUAGCAAACAGGAUUAGAUACCCUAGUAGUC
rnacentral:rRNA from 1 species